rnacentral:ncRNA from 1 species
UAUGGGGUGAAGUUUAAUUUUAGCUUAGUAGUUUUCUCAGUUUUUUAUUUUACAUGUAAAUUUUAGUGUGAAAAAUUAAAUAUUUAAAUAAUUUUUAAUUUUAUGGUUAUUCGCAGUAUAAAAUAUUAAAUAUUAAAUAAUUUUAGAUUUGGGAAUAAAAUUUAAAAUUGACAAAAUUUGUGCCAGCAGUUGCGGUUACACAAAUAAUUUAAGAAAAUUAUUUUAGAAACAGUUAAUUUAAAAUUUAAAUAAAUAUAAUUAAAUUUUUUAAGUGAAAUUUAAAAUUUAUAUAAUAUUAAUAUUAAAUUUUUUGAAUCUGGUAAAUUUAAAUUAAAAACUAGGAUUAGAUACCCUAUUAUUUUAAGCUUAAUUUAAUUUCUAAAUUAGUAACAGUUUAUGAUCUCCAAAAUUAAAAAAUUUGGCGGUAUUUUAGUCUUUUCAGAGGAACCUGUUCUAUAAUCGAUAAUCCACGAUUAAUUAUACUUAUUUUAAAAAUUUAUAUAUCGUCGUAGUUUGAAUAUUUUAAAAGAAAAAUAAUAUUCAAAAUUUAUAAUUAUAAAUUAAAUCAGAUCAAGGUGUAGUUUAUAAAUAAGAAGAAAUGGGUUACAUUAAAUUUAUUUAUGGCUAUGUUUAUGAAAUUUAAAUGUUAAAAAUGGAUUUGAAAGUAAUUUUUUUAAUUUAUUAAAAAUGAUUUAAGCUCUAAAAUAUGUACAUAUUGCCCGUCGCUUUUGUUUUAAGAUGAAAUAAGUCGUAACAAAGUAGAUUUACUGGAAAGUGAAUCUAGAAA